rnacentral:rRNA from 1 species
AACGAACGCUGGCGGCAUGCCUAACACAUGCAAGUCGAACGAGACCUUCGGGUCUAGUGGCGCACGGGUGCGUAACGCGUGGGAACCUGCCUUUAGGUUCGGAAUAACUCAGAGAAAUUUGAGCUAAUACCGGAUGAUGUCUUCGGACCAAAGAUUUUUCGCCUUUAGAUGGGCCCGCGUUGGUUUAGCUAGUUGGUGGGGUAAAGGCCUACCAAGGCGACGAUCCAUAGCUGGUCUGAGAGGAUGAUCAGCCACACUGGGACUGAGACACGGCCCAGACUCCUACGGGAGGCAGCAGUGGGGAAUAUUGGACAAUGGGCGAAAGCCUGAUCCAGCAAUGCCGCGUGAGUGAUGAAGGCCUUAGGGUUGUAAAGCUCUUUUACCCGAGAUGAUAAUGACAGUAGCGGGAGAAUAAGCACCGGCUAACUCCGUG